UUCCCACCAUAUUUUCUCCUAGUUUCGUCGCUGAAAAUGGUUGUCUCUUCAUUGCGGCCGACACCUCCUCCGACCUUCGCUAUUCUCUCUCCUCUUCCAUUGCUACCCUCGCUCCUUCUUCCCCUACCCAUCUCAAUCCUCCUGAGUGCCACCUGCCCAUUCUUGUACAUUUCUAUUAGUUUAUUCAAUUUCUAUUAUCUUCUCGCUCUCAGGAAUUUAGAUUUUGAUAAGCGAAAACGCUAACUACGUAGAAGGUUUUAGGAGCUAAAACACACUUUAUUGGAGACUAAUCAAUAGAGCUUAUGAACUAGGAUUUCUAAGGCGCCUCAGUCCGUGCAGUGAAGACGCAUUGCUCAGCCGUGGAGAGAUUCUCUUACCCGCAUGUGACACCCUAGCGUAAUAGAUGAUGAGCGGGAUAUUAUCAUCACUCAGGUCUCGAGGGACAAGAUUGAUAUUGUAGGUUCCUGGGGCUGUGUCACUGUGUGUGUUGCAAGAAGCAUGGGAAAAGGAGGUUGUUCUUGAAAUUGGAGACAGUUUGCUUCGAGAGAGACUGCCCAAAUCAUUCUUGCAAGGUGUUGGUUGGCCAUGGCGCUUGCUUAUAUGGACUUGUCAAGGAUGCUAUGGCUUUGAAUCCUAAGGAUUUCAUCUCAGCCUCUGAGAUGCUAGAGAGAGCUUUGAAGCUUUUGCAGGAUAAAGCUUGCGGAAUGAAGAUCCAUUAAAGAAAGAAACUUUUGGAACUCCCAACUCCCACAGGCUCUCAUAAUAUAGACAGAGAAGACACAUUGUCUCUCCAGCUGGAGGAUUUUUGACUUGAUGAUGGGG